CGCUGAAGGUCUGUAAGUGCCUCGAGGUGAGGCUUCUCUAACUUCCCAGUCUCCUUAUUGAUUGUGAUCGGAGGUGGCAGAGUCUGAGCUUGCCUGAGGUACCUGACCAGCCAAGGAAGGGAUUCCUGGGGUUUGUCCCUUCUUCGCACAUACUUGCUUCUCCUUUGACCUUCUCCGACAUGUUUUGACUCAUCACAGAAGACCUCACCAGAAGCCAAGCAGAUGUAGGAGCCAUGCUUCUUUCACAGCCUACAGAACGGUAAGAAUUUAAUAAUAAUGGAGGAGUAAGAGGAUGGACUGAGAAAGAAAGAGAAAAGAAAAAAGGAAGAGAGCCAGAGGAAGAAAAGAGAAGGGAGGAAGGAAGGAAAUGAAGACAGUCUGCACCCGCAUUUGGUUGCUGUCC
rnacentral:lncRNA from 1 species